rnacentral:hammerhead_ribozyme from 1 species
AUCCAACUGACAAGUCCCAAAUAGGACGAAACGCUCGUCCUGAAU